rnacentral:lncRNA from 1 species
ACCAUUGUUUAUGAAUGCAGGUACGACAACAUCGUCAUACGAUUGAUUGGUCUGGCAGUUUUUGCUUUUGCUACAGCUUUUAUACUAUUAAUGAUGGAAAGUCUUAGUGCUUUCCUGCACGCAUUGCGUCUCCAUUGGGUUGAAUUUCAAAACAAGUUCUACAAUGGCGAUGGCUAUAAAUUUAAGCCCUUUUCAUUUGCUUUAUUAACUGAUGAUGAUGAUUAGUGUCUUUUCGUUACUCCAUAUUCCUGAAAUUUUGCAAAAGUAGCACAGGGAAAAUGAUAAUUUUUGGUGGCAAAUGAGCCUCGAGAUUUUUUCGCUUCUUCUCGUUAGCAUGGAAUUGUAAAAUUCCUUGCUGAAGAUUCUUUAGAUGCAAUGGUAUUCUGCUGAGAUUAGCCAAAGAAUUUGUAAUUCUUUUUAUAAUCUUAGGAUGGAGGAGUUGUAAAGUUGGUGACCAAGUACUUUUUGUCUUUAUUUCGAGGCCCAUUUGCACAAAUCUAUGUUUAGUGUAGAUUAUUCUUCUGUAAUAAUGAAUCAUAUUCUUAUAGAUUUCUGAAAGUAGUUUGUUUGUAAAAGUAGUUGAGCUCAAUUCUUUAUUAGUGCUGGAUUUUUAAUUGAAUUCCAGCAGUAUCCUCGUACAUUGAUUGCUCUAACUUAAGCAGUUAGACAUUACAAAGUACUCUGUUUUUUAUUCCUUUUUAGGGUUUUUAAUUCAUCUGUUGAAUGUCAUAUAAGAAAGUUGAUUUGACGAUAUUAAUUGGAC